rnacentral:lncRNA from 1 species
UUAUUUACAGUAAAACCAGUCGAUCAACGGUGCAGUCGACAGUUCCGUGCCUUCCCCCUAAUGUUGUCCUCUUGAGGGUACUAGUCUAAAACCCCAUAGAAACUGGUUAAAAUUGUGCAUGCACAUGGUCAAACCUAGUCGGAUGAGUUAUGUUGUCCACGUAAUGAUCCUUUAAGAUAAGCCUUAUCCAAAGUCCAUAGCAUUUUCAUAAUCCCAAAUGGACGCAAUCAUAUUUUGUGCAUUAAUUUUGACAACUAAUGUCGAUAUAUUGAUC